rnacentral:rRNA from 1 species
GUACCGUCAACGCCCCGCUCUAUUUGAACGGACACCUUUCUUCCCUUCCGACAGAGGUUUACGACCCGAAGGCCUUCAUCCCUCACGCGGCGUUGCUGGGUCAGGGUUUCCCCCCAUUGCCCAAAAUUCCCGA